rfam:Blochmannia floridanus complete genome
GCGCUCUUAACUCAAUAGGAUAGAGUAACGGCCUUCUAAGCCGUAAGUUAUAGGUUCGAAUCCUAUAGAGCGCA